rnacentral:rRNA from 1 species
UACGUAGGGGGCUAGCGUUGUCCGGAUUUAUUGGGCGUAAAGAGCGUGUAGGCGGCCAGGGUAGGUCUGGUGUGAAAACUCGAGGCUUAACCUCGAGAUGUCAUCGGAAACCAUCUGGCUAGAGUCCGGAAGAGGAGAGUGGGAAUUCCUGGUGUAGCGGUGAAAUGCGCAGAUAUCAGGAAGAACACCAAUGGCGAAAGCAGCUCUCUGGGACGGUACUGACGCUGAAGACGCGAAAAGCGUGGGGAGCGAACAGGAU